GGGGGGCGGGGGGGGGGGGGGGGGGGCGGGCAGGUCGGGCGGGCGGGGGAGGAGCUUGCUCCUCUGACGUUAGCGGCGGACGGGUGAGGAACACGUGGAUAACCUACCUAUAAGACUGGGAUAACUUCGGGAAACCGGAGCUAGUACCGGAUAAUAUAUUGAACCGCAUGGUUCAAUAGUGAAAGACGGUUUUGCUGUCACUUAUAGAUGGAUCCGCGCCGCAUUAGCUAGUUGGUAAGGUAACGGCUUACCAAGGCAACGAUGCGUAGCCGACCUGAGAGGGUGAUCGGCCACACUGGAACUGAGACACGGUCCAGACUCCUACGGGAGGCAGCAGUAGGGAAUCUUCCGCAAUGGGCGAAAGCCUGACGGAGCAACGCCGCGUGAGUGAUGAAGGUCUUCGGAUCGUAAAACUCUGUUAUUAGGGAAGAACAAAUGUGUAAGUAACUAUGCACGUCUUGACGGUACCUAAUCAGAAAGCCACGGCUAACUACGUG
rnacentral:rRNA from 1 species